UACGUAGGGUGCGAGCGUUGUCCGGAAUUAUUGGGCGUAAAGAGCGCGUAGGCGGUCCGAUAAGUCGGCUGUGAAAGUCAGGGGCUCAACCCUUGAAAGCCGGCCGAUACUGUCGGACUAGAGUCCGGAAGAGGCAAGUGGAAUUCCCGGUGUAGCGGUGAAAUGCGCAGAUAUCGGGAGGAACACCAAUGGCGAAGGCAGCUGCUGGGACGGUACUGACGCUGAGGCGCGAAAGCGUGGGGAG
rnacentral:rRNA from 1 species